rnacentral:tRNA from 1 species
GUUAUAAUAGUUUAUUUUAAAACAUUGGUCUUGUAAACCAAUAUUGGAAUAUUUAAAUUCCUUAUAACU